rnacentral:rRNA from 1 species
AUCUGAAACUAUAAUUCUUGAGUGCUGGAGAGGAAACCGGAAUUCCUAGUGUAGCGGUGAAAUGCGUAGAUAUUAGGAAGAACACCAGUGGCGAAGGCGGCUUUCUGGACAGUAACUGACGCUGAGGCGCGAAAGCGUGGGGAGCAAACAGGAUUAGAUACCCUGGUAGUCCACGCUGUAAACGAUGGAUACUAGGUGUAGGAGGUAUCGACCCCUUCUGGGCCGGAGUUAACACAAUAAGUAUCCCACCUGGGGAGUCCGCCCGCAAGGCUGAAACUCAAAGGAAUGGACGGGGGCCCGCACAAGCAGUGGAGUAUGUGGUUUAAUUCGAAGCAACCCGAAGAACCUAACCAGGGCUGGACAUCCUUCGGAUAACAAAGAGAUAUGUUAGUCCUUCGGGACGAGGGAACAGUUGUUCCAUGUUGUUCUUCAGCUCGUUUCGUAAGAUGUUGGUUUAAUUCCCGCAACGAGCGCAACCCCUAUUGUUAGUCGCCAUCAUUAAGUUGGCCAUUCUAACGAGACUGCCGGUGACANAUCGGAGGAAGGUGGGGACGACGUCAAAUCAUCAUGCCCCUUAUGUCCUGGGCUACACACGUACUACAAUGGUCACUACAAAGGGAAGCAAUACCGCAAGGAGGAGCA